rnacentral:rRNA from 1 species
CAGCCGUAAACUAUGCGCGUUAGGUGUAUCGGUGACCACGAGUUACCGAGGUGCCGAAGGGAAACCGUGAAACGUGCCGCCUGGGAAGUACGGUCGCAAGGCUGAAACUUAAAGGAACUGGCGGGGGAGCACAACAACGGGUGGAGCCUGCGGUUUAAUUGGACUCAACGCCGGAAAACUCACCAGGGGAGACAGCAAUAUGUAGGUCAAGCUGAAGACUUUACCUGAAUCGCUGAGAGGUGGUGCAUGGCGUCAGUGACU